rnacentral:rRNA from 1 species
GUGCCAGCAGCCGCGGUAAUACGUAGGCAGCGAGCGUUGUUCGGAGUUACUGGGCGUAAAGGGUGCGCAGGCGGCAGUGCAAGUCUGUUGUGAAAUCUCCCGGCUCAACCGGGAGGGUGCGGCGGAAACUGUGCUGCUGGAGUAUGGGAGAGGCAAGCGGAAUUCCUGGUGUAGCGGUGAAAUGCGUAGAUAUCAGGAGGAACACCCGUGGUGCAGACGGCUUGCUGGACCAUCACUGACGCUGAGGCACGAAAGCGUGGGGAGCAAACAGGAUUAGAAACCCCUGUAGUCC